GACGAACGCUGGCGGCGUGCUUAACACAUGCAAGUCGAACGGAAAGGCCCCUUUGGGGGUACUCGAGUGGCGAACGGGUGAGUAACACGUGAGUAACCUGCCCUUGACUUCGGGAUAACUUCAGGAAACUGGGGCUAAUACCGGAUAGGAAUCCUUGCUGCAUGGUGGGGGUUGGAAAGCUUCGGCGGUUUUGGAUGGACUCGCGGCUUAUCAGCUUGUUGGUGGGGUAGUGGCUUACCAAGGCUUUGACGGGUAGCCGGCCUGAGAGGGCGACCGGCCACAGUGGGACUGAGAUACGGCCCAGACUCCUACGGGAGGCAGCAGGGGGGAAUAUUGCACAAUGGGCGGAAGCCUGAUGCAGCAACGCCGCGUGCGGGAUGACGGCCUUCGGGUUGGAAACCGCUUUCAGCAGGGGCGAAGCUUGUGGUGACGGUACCUGCAGAAGAAGCACCGGCUAACUACGUG
rnacentral:rRNA from 1 species